GAUUAUGGCUCAGAACGAACGCUGGCGGCAGGCCUAACACAUGCAAGUCGAGCGCGCCCUUCGGGGUGAGCGGCGGACGGGUUAGUAACGCGUGGGAACGUACCCUUUGGUAGGGAAUAGCCACUGGAAACGGUGAGUAAUACCCUAUGAGCCCUUCGGGGGAAAGAUUUAUCGCCAAAGGAUCGGCCCGCGUUAGAUUAGGUAGUUGGUGGGGUAAUGGCCUACCAAGCCUACGAUCUAUAGCUGGUUUUAGAGGAUGAUCAGCAACACUGGGACUGAGACACGGCCCAGACUCCUACGGGAGGCAGCAGUGGGGAAUCUUGGACAAUGGGGGCAACCCUGAAUCCAGCCAUGCCGCGUGAGUGAAGAAGGCCUUAGGGUCGUAAAGCUCUUUCGCCUGUGAAGAUAAUGACGGUAGCAGGUAAAGAAACCCCGGCUAACUCCGUGCCAGCCGCCGC
rnacentral:rRNA from 1 species